GUGAAUCACUCAGUCAGUACCUAUGUGAUUCUGUCCAGGGAAAUCCUCCCUUUCUCCAAGUCCUCGAAGGAUAAGCUAUGUGGUGCGGUUUCAGGAUGACUUGGUGAAAUUCUGGGACUACAUACUCAGUACCCUGCUGGCCAGGAGUCGCCUGCUGUAACUUUGGUACUCCUCCAGCCUGCCUUUCAGUGGCAGCAGAUUGGGCAGCUUAGGCUGUCAUCCACUGUCACCAAGUGCAUUGCAUAAAAGUCCCCACCCCCUCCCCAACAUCAGACUGUACCCUCUGUCUCUAUCUUGUUACUUCCCUCUGUCUGUCUCAAUUUCUCUCUCAUGUCCCCUCCCAGAGCAAGCCUUCCAUUCUCACCAACCCUCCAAUAAACCUCGUGCCCUAGAUCUGUUGCAUGGUCUGUCUCUUAGCGACACACCUUAGCCCCGGACCUGCCAAAGAUAUUUUUAUCCUAGUAGCAACCCCUGAAAAACAGCCAGUGAUAUGGAGUCUCCCCUUGCCUUGCCUUGCCUACGACACUGUUCACCUCAGAAAUCAGCCAGUGGCAUCGAAUACAAGGAGUGUAUGGGAAGUAAACCAAAUACAUUUUGGAGAUAUCAAGUGUCCUGUUGAUACUGAUAAAACAAUACUGGGGAGAGGAUUUUUGACGGAAGAAAAGGAGGAUCUUUGGGGAAUACUAAAAAACACCAGUCAAUCAGACCAACAGUGAGGAGGGACAAAUGACACUUUCCUUCAAUCACACUGAGAAAUCUCUCCUUCAUUUGUAUUUUGAUGCCCGGAAGAAUCAUGGGUGCUUCUCGGAUCUAUUAACUAAUCUCAGAAAGCCAAGGAAAAUGAACUAUAUGAUGGCUGAGGUUGACAAAAGCAACUUUAAGUCACCAAGAGGCAAAAUGCCAAGUGGCACAUGAGGAACAACCAGCUCCUUGCCAGAGGUGGAAACCGUCCAAAGGAUAAUAUAAUUUUUCCAGUGAAGCAGAGUUCGUGCUAGAGAACCAACUCAACAUUUACCUAGACAGCUGAUGUCACCUCCACCCAGUCACGUUAGUCUUCACCAAAGGAAGAGAAAGACAUUGUAUUGUUCAAUAAAAAAAUAAAGUAAAAACGAUAUGUACUGCUUUUUGAGUUUCUGGGCCCAGAAACCCAGGCAGGUGAUUUUAAGUUCUCUCAGAGGUAUCUCACCAUAGAGAAUAUGACAACUGCUCCAGAGAAGAAUCCAGUGAGGGACCUGUUUAGUUCUGGAGUAGCCUGCUUUACCUGCCAGUUUCUGGCACUGUAUGAAGCCUAAGGACAUGAGUAGAUCUUCACUUCCUACCAUUUCCAAAUAUUUCCCUAUAAAUGUGUGAACGCAGCUCUUGACGUAGGGUGCAGAAAGGGUAGUUUACAAUGUGGAAUUGCAUUAACUUGGACAUUUGGUGCAUAUAGACCUCUGUUGGCAUGUGGCUACCAUCUAUCCAGAGAAUUUGUAUGAGUUCAAUAUGUAGGAUGUCAAUUUUGUCUUGGGCAAGCGUCAUGACUAUGUUACUUUAGCUGAGAGACCAGCGCUGUGCAAACAGAUUCUUUUAUAUUGCAUUUCUCUAGCUCUGUAAGAAAAAAAGUUUCUAUAAGUAGUUAGACUUCAAGUUUCUGGUUCCCAAAAGUACCAGUUAACUAUGAACAGCAAUAACUUCUUUCCUUUAUUAGUAUUAUGGUUGUUUUGUUAUUAUUAAGUAGGACACAUUACAACUUUUUUUUAAUUUGGCAGAAGUGGUGAUUUAUUAAAAUAGUCUAGAAAGAACUCAAGAGUUUGGUUGAAGUAUCUGUUCACCCUGUAGGAGUUCAGUUUGACAUACACCAUAGUUCCAUUAGACUGUUAAAAUUUUGGCUUUCUCUUUUGUCACAAUACUUAUGAUUAACAUAACCAUCUACUAUGAUAGCUUAAAAGAAUAUAUCUAUUAUUUUUACAAGAAGAACUGGCUUUUAUGACUCAAAUGCAGCUUCCACAGAAUAUGUUGUUCAUUACAAUUCUUUUUCCUCAGCUGAUUUUUGUUCCAUUUGUUCAUGUUGGUUUCUUCCUUGCUUAAGUUGCAAAGCACUCUUUCAGGGAAGAGCCCCUGGCAUAAUUCCAUUGGACACAAUUAUUUGUUCACAGGAAAAAAAAACACUAAUUUACAUUUAUAUCAACAUUAUAUUAAUGGCAAAACUAGAGUUCAG
rnacentral:sRNA from 1 species